rnacentral:rRNA from 1 species
GAAUUUGAUCUGGCUAGAGACGCUGGCGGCGUGCCUAAUACAUGCAAGUCGAACGCACAGCGAAAGGUGCUUGCACCUUUCAAGUGAGUGGCGAACGGGUGAGUAACACGUGGACAACCUGCCUCAAGGCUGGGGAUAACAUUUGGAAACAGAUGCUAAUACCGAAUGAAACUUAUUGUCGCAUGAUACGAAGUUAAAAGGCGCUUUGGCGUCACCUAGAGAUGGAUCCGCGGUGCAUUAGUUAGUUGGUGGGGUAAAGGCCUACCAAGACAAUGAUGCAUAGCCGAGUUGAGAGACUGAUCGGCCACAUUGGGACUGAGACACGGCCCAAACUCCUACGGGAGGCUGCAGUAGGGAAUCUUCCACAAUGGGCGAAAGCCUGAUGGAGCAACGCCGCGUGUGUGAUGAAGGCUUUCGGGUCGUAAAGCACUGUUGUAUGGGAAGAACAGCUAGAAUAGGGAAUGAUUUUAGUUUGACGGUACCAUACCAGAAAGGGACGGCUAAAUACGUGCCAGCCGCCGCGGUAAUUCGUCGUGACUGGGAAAA